rnacentral:rRNA from 1 species
UACGGAGGGUGCGAGCGUUGUCCGGAAUCAUUGGGCGUAAAGGGCGCGUAGGUGGCGGGACAAGCGUGCGGUGAAAGCUCGGGGCUCAACCCCGAGUCGGCCGUGCGAACUGUUUUGCUGGAGCACUGUAGAGGCAGGCGGAAUUCCGGGUGUAGCGGUGGAAUGCGUAGAGAUCCGGAGGAACACCUGUGGCGAAAGCGGCUCUCUGGACCACAACUGACGCUGAGGCGCGAAAGCUAGGGGAGCAAACAGG